rnacentral:tRNA from 2 species
UGCCCCGUGGCUGAGUUGGUUACAGCGUCCGACUGUUAAUCGGAAGGUCGUGAGUUCGAGCCUCACCGGGGCAG